UACGUCAAUAAAUAAUAUUCUGCGAUUCGCCCUUAGAGUUUGAUCCUGGCUCAGAUUGAACGCUGGCGGCAUGCCUUACACAUGCAAGUCGAACGGCAGCACGGGGGCAACCCUGGUGGCGAGUGGCGAACGGGUGAGUAACACAUCGGAACGUACCCAGUUGUGGGGGAUAACCCACCGAAAGGUGGGCUAAUACCGCAUGAUCUGGAGACAGCAAAGCGGGGGAUCGCAAGACCUCGCGCGAUUGGAGCGGCCGAUGUCCGAUUAGCUAGUUGGUGGGGUAAAGGCCUACCAAGGCGACGAUCGGUAGCUGGUCUGAGAGGAUGAUCAGCCACACUGGGACUGAGACACGGCCCAGACUCCUACGGGAGGCAGCAGUGGGGAAUUUUGGACAAUGGGGGCAACCCUGAUCCAGCCAUGCCGCGUGAGUGAAGAAGGCCUUCGGGUUGUAAAGCUCUUUCGGUGGGAACGAAACGGUUACGGCUAAUACCCGUGACUACUGACGGUACUCACAGAAGAAGCACCGGCUAACUACGUGCCAGCAGCCGCGGUAAUACGUAGGGUGCGAGCGUUAAUCGGAAUUACUGGGCGUAAAGCGUGCGCAAGCGGUUAUUUAAGUCAGGUGUGAAAGCCCUGGGCUUAACCUAGGAAUGGCGCUUGAGACUGGAUAGCUUGCAGUGUGGCAGAGGGAGGUGGAAUUCCACGUGUGGAAUGAAAUGCGUAUAGAUGUGGAGGAACUCCAUCGCUAACGCAGCCUCCUGGGCCAGCACUGACGCUCAUGCACGAUAGCGUGGGAGCAACACGAUAGAUACCCUGGUAGUCCACGCCCUAAACGAUGCCACUGUUGUCGGUGGGCUAAACCCAUCAGUACGGAGCUUAUCCGUGAGUCGACGCUGUGCGUACGCGUAAGUACAACUCACGCAUUGACGGGCACCCAUCCAGCUGUAGGAUGA
rnacentral:rRNA from 1 species